rnacentral:lncRNA from 1 species
AUGAGCGUGUGAGGUCUUCCCGUGUUGUGUGUGAACAACUGCAAGGAUGAAGCUGCCGCUCGCUGAGCUGGGGCAGCCUGUGCUUGAUUGUGUCCCAUUCAGAACACAGCUGACAACCUACGACGCAGCCUGCAGCCCAACACAGCUGCCCUCCCAGAUGCCCAUACUGAGUUCCACCUCAUCUGGCCACUUCCUGUGCCCCCAACUGCACUCAGAUAUCUCAUGAGGUCACUGAUUAUCAACUCCACUCCGUGCAGCAACGCAUGUCUGCCCUUAUCUAGCCUCACCUACGAGGAACAUUGCUGCCGCUGACCACUGCUCCUCCUCCCUGGGCCUCUCUCAUGCCUGGACUCUGCACCCUGCCUCACCACCUUCCAGUGUCGCAGGAGUGCCCUGGCUCAUUUCUUGUCCCCUGUCUUCUCUCACCCCUUGGCCAUAUUGUUAGGUCAACAGGAGUGGAGGAGAGCCAGGGUGACACCAUUUUAAAAUCAACUCCAUCUUAAAACUAGCUAGGCAUAUUCCUUGCCAGUCACUACCC